AAAUCAUCAUUUUGGCUGAGAUCAAGUCAGUAUCUAUUUUAUUGUUUUAAUAGAUGGUAUGUCCUCUGUCUGAGGAUGAUAUAUUGAGGAGAAUUUUUGAGCUAGUAGAUGAAAUAAGAACUUGUUCCUUCCACUCCAUACAUGAGCUGGAAUUACAUUACCUAAGAAACCACUUAGGUUUC